GACGUAGGGCGCGAGCGUUGUCCGGAUUUAUUGGGCGUAAAGAGCUCGUAGGCGGCUCAUCGCGUCUGCCGUGAAAACCCGCAGCUCAACUGCGGGCUUGCGGUUGAUACGGGUGGGCUGGAGUUCGGUAGGGGAGACUGGAAUUCCUGGUGUAGCGGUGAAAUGCGUAGAUAUCGUUUGGAACGCCAAUGGUGAAAACAGGUUGCUGGGAGUGUGCUGACGCUGAGACACGAAAGCCAGGGGAGCAAACGGG
rnacentral:rRNA from 1 species